CAAUAAAAUAUAUUUAUUUAUACAUAUUUAAAUGUUUAAAAUUGCAUAAGUAUAUACAUACCAUGUAUUCAGGCCACAAUUUUCCACUUGUCACGUUUUGCAUUAUUGUUUUUUGGCAAUAGCGUAGGAGUGAUAUACAAUAGUAUAUUAUAUAAUCAGGUGAAUGUAGUAUACAAAUAGCAAAAAAAUGCAAAAUUUGAUGCCAAGGCAGUAUACCCCAAAAACACUGAGAUAUCAUUAAGUUGCACAUCAAUGACCAACUUAUUCCAGAAGUAUUCUACAUUAGAAAAUAAAUUGAUUAAUAAAAUUACUGAAAUUCUGAAAUUCUGUGAAAUAUUACCUUGAGUGCAAACUGAACGUGUGGUAAUUCAUUACUAAUGAUAGAUUCUAGAAGUUGCAUAAACGUAAAUUGAGUGGUACAUUCUCCCUGAAUGUUUUUAUCUACGAUUUUUCCCAAAUUUGGCCACAAAAAAAUAAUUACUGGGAACUUCAUUAAUUGUUGUAUAAAUAUUUUACAUCUGAAAUCGAUUAUAACAUAUAGACAUAUUAUCUUAGAUAGCUUAAAAGGUCGAUGAUGAUUUACACUGUUCUUACGCGCAAUGCCAUUAUGGUGGUGACUAAGUUUUCAAUCUGAGACCUGCCAAUGAUGACAUAUGACCAGCUAGAGUUUCCCUACUUUUUAAAUGAGAUUAGCAAUUUCAAAAUCGCUCCUUUGAAAUAUGUUUAUGACUGUUCACAAACAGAUUUUGAAUGAGCUAUUGAAUUUUGCUAAUGAGGGGUAUAUUCGCGGUCAGCUGAGGCAUUCAUUUAAAACAUAUUUCAAUCUUCUUCUACUACUUAUUUUGCGUGCAGAAAAUAAUUUUCAUAGAAUAGAUUUGUGAAUGUAGUAUUUGCCUUGUGUGGGAAAACUAUAAAAUCAUUAAUUCUUCAAAUAAAACUAAACUUUAAAAAUGAAAUAAAUUUAGGCAUACACGACAUUAUUUUGUAUACAAAUAAUUUUUAGGAAUUUGUUACAGAUUAUCAUUUAUCAUUGAAUGUUUUAAGAAGUUAUAAGCAUUAACUGUUUUACAAUUGCACUAUAAUAUUCACAAGAAUAUAUAAGCAAAUUGAAUAAAAAUGUUCAGAUGUGUAAAAUUAUUGAUACAUACCUUCCUAUGUCACCUUCACAAAUAAUAAACACUGUUGCUAAAAACCAGUCAAAUCCAUCAAAUUUUUUUGGUCUUUCAUAAUGUAUAAAUGCGUAACACUCGUUAAUAAAUUCUUGUAGUUUCUUUUUCAUUUCAACAGUAUUUUUUAAAAUGUUGUUUUGUUCGGCGUAAUGUAGAGCUAAGUUAAUUCCAUGUACCUCCUCUGCAAACCAAAAAUCCGUAUUUAUUGAAAAACUCCCUUCCCAUUGGAAAUUUUCUACCCAUUCUGCAGUAGGAAUUGCUUUCUGCAUCUGAUCUAAUAAUUGUAUUAAUGUAGUGUUCUACAAGAGAAUUGAAUGUAUUUAGUUCUAAUUGAUUUGACGAAAUUAUGAAUAUUAAUUUUGAAUUAAAUCUUCACCUUUAUUAAAUCAGAUGAUUGCAUAUAGGCUGCUCUAACUUCUCCAAUCCAGUCGCUGUCUAAUAAUCCACGUUUAUUUUCUUUAAGAAAAUAAUCUAAUUCUGUGCUAUCAUCAUAUUCUGAAGAAUGCACCUGUAUGUUCAACUUUGGAGUUGGUAAUAUUGACACAUCAUAAUCCUCCAAUUUACUUUGUUCUUCCUCAUCCUCAAGUUCAAUAAAAUUUGCUUUAGAUAUAAUUUUAUGUCGUAUUAAAGUAUAUUCAUCAAUAACUUCUUCUUUUGUAUCCUCAUUUUCACGUUCUUGUGAAUUGGAGUUUUGAAGCUUUAACAAAAUAUUCUAAAAACAUUCAUGUUAUCAAAGAGUGCAAAGGAAGUAAAAUCUCUUUGUCUUUUAAAAUAUAAUUUAGUAAUACCUGGAAGUUUAAUAACUCUAUUAAAUAUAUGCGAAUAUUUAAAUUCCAAAUUACAGUCAUUAAUGACAAAAGUCCUAGAUAAUGAUAAUUAGAAUCCGGAUUUAUUGCAUUUUGAAAGAGUUCAAACAAGUUAAGUGGAUAAUUCUGUUCUUCAUUGUUGCAUAGGUCCUUUACAUUGGUCAUAAGGGCUGAGAAACCUAUAUAUUUAUAAUUAUAAUAUUUGAAUACUAAUUUAAUGAAUGCUUAUCAUUAUUCUAUCAUUAUUCUUACAUUUAUAAUUAAGAGAAAAGAAUGCCAGUACAUGUAAAAAAGAACGGAUGCUUUCAUGAUCCCAUGGAUCAGGAAAAUAAUGUAUAUCUUCUAAUAUUUUACAUGUUUCUGAAAGCAAAGUCGACAAACUAUGAGGUGCAAGAUUUGUAAGUGUAUUAUAUCCCAAAUGAAAAAAUGCAGCAAGUGACACAAAAUUAACCACUUCCAUUGAUGUCCAUGACAUUCUCAAUGGCGCAAUACAUCCUGCAAUUAGUUCAUGAAACACUGAUGAUUCUUGAACAAGUGCUUUCAAUCCAAAUGGUACAGAUACCAUUUUAAGUAAUAAUGAUAUAACGGCGCUAAAAAUGAAAUCCUUUUUAUACAAUUGUAUUUCUUUAACAAGUAAAACCUAAAAGAAAUAGGAAUUACCUAUUUAUCUGUUGAACUUUAUUUUCAUUUUCAAAAUAGGAUUUAUCUAGCUUACUGUAAAAAUGUGAUACAGCAGGAUAAAAGUUCUUUUCUAUUUUAUAUUGUACAAUUUCAUAUGUAUCAAAUAUAUCAAAUAACUUUUCUAGUACUUUAAAUAAUUUGAGGAGAUAUUCAGUAUUCAUUAUAGAAAAGGGUUGUUUCAACAUAUUGGAUGCUAUUACUGUAAUGUACAUAGCAGGACACUUUGAAACAUUACUUUCAAAGUUCACUGUAUGCUCUUUGCAUUCAGAGAUAAGAAAUUGUGAACCAUCUGGUGUAUCUAACAUGUGUAAGAUAAUAUUUAAUGUAUGUGGCCAUAUUUUUAUAUUAUUUUCAGAUAAAGAAGGCAAAUGGCAUAGCGCGAUAUGAUAAAAUUCAGAAUUACAUAAAAUUUUUGGCUUGUCUAAAAUAAUUUGUAAAGCAUAACAAGAGAUAUCAUACACGCCAUGUAAAGUAUCUGUAGACAAUUUAUUUAAAGCUUUUAGAGAAGCAGUUAGAAAGUCUGAAAUUCCGAAUGGCGUUCCAAAAAUAGUUUCACCUAACAGUUUUCUGCCUGCCUCAUAUGCACAAAGUUGUGAUACAAAGCAUAAGCAAUGAAGAUAAGUUACUGUUUCUAUUGUAUUUCCAUUAAUAAUUGCUUCCAUUGGUUCAUCACAAAUCGAAAUUGAUACAAAAUGAGGAGGAUCUUCUAAUCCUUUUCUCAUAUUAUUCAUUAUAUUUUGUAAUAUGCUAGGUGAUUUGCCUAAUGCGAUUAAAAAGAGUCUUCUAGUAGCAAGACUAACAAUCCAUUUUUUGCUCCAAUUAGCACAUGGAUCCAAUAUAGAAAUAAUAUUCAAUAUAUUUAAUGUUUUAGAUUGUACUGCAUUACCAAAUUCAUGCGUGCUAAAAAAUGUCAUAAACUGCUCUAUUAAUUCUUCUGUAGAUUUAUCAGGAUUUCUCACACAUUUCAAUCUUUCUUCGUGAUAUUGAAGUAUCAAAUGUAUAAUUCGAAAUACUUUUUCGUGUAGGAAAAAUUUAAAAUUAAUUCCAGUAAGCAGAGUAGGCAAUAUUUCAAAUGUUUUUUGAGAAUGAUAUUGAGCAGUAAAUGCAUCUAGUAAAUUUAUGUACACAUCAUGUGACUGCAAACAUGUCAGCAACUUUGCAUGAACUUGUAAACUGGCUUCGAAAAUUGGUCUAUUUUCAUCUGUGAGACUAUCUAACAGAGCCUUUUUAAGUGAAUCCCACACUGCAUUGUUAUUUACAUUUGACAAGUCAUGUUUUAGUAAGACUUCGUAGGCAGCUAAUCUAACGUGUGUAGGUUUAUCGUUACUGAUCUUAUCAACAAUAACAUUAUAGUAUUCAUCAUUAUUUAGUGGAGAAUUCCAAUCUUCGCUUGUUUGAUCACUGAGGCAAGAAAGAGAUGACUGUGGCCGAGAUUCAGAAAAUAAUGUUGAUGAUGACCUUGAAGCAGAUUGUUCAACAAGUGUAGCUCUCAUUGAACUUAUCAAAGCAGACAUUUCUUUUGAAUGCACUUUUUCAUCCAUUUUUGGGUAUUUGGAGAAAUAUUAUGUUCCAUACUCAAAAAAUUAUUAAGAUAUAUUUACAAAACCGUAACGACGAAAGCAGUAGUAAGAGUAACAAUAGCAACUACAUCUUAUAAGAUGCUUCAUACAAUCACAAUAAAUUUAAUGUGUCAUGCGAAAUUUGUUCAUAAUAAUAUAUUCUUUAACGUGCACCUACUAUAAUAUUUGGAGAUUUUGAUCGCAAAGCAUAAAUUCCUCCUUGCAAGGAACAUACACCCAUAACUCCACACUUUACAAGAAAAUCUGCAAACUACACAAAAUUUGUUAAUUAGAAUACUUAAUUACUUAAUAUAUAAUAUCAUUAUCAGGUAUGUAUACCAAAGCAUUAUUUUGAUCAUGAGGCCCAAUUAUUACAACAAUACUGUUUUUAUUUUCUGCAAUUGGUUUAGCCUGUGGUCCUAAAGUCUCAAUUUGAGUUUGAGACAGUUGUACACUUGUAAAUGGAAUGUUAAUACUUCCUGCUGCGGCACCUCGUUCAAACCUAUGAAAAUAGAUCAAUGAUGCCUGGUUCGAGCUCUGACCAAUUCACAUCCUAUGAGGAGGCAAUACAAGGUUUUUAAAUUUUGAAUAUUAUGUAAUAUAAUACAUGUUUUAUCAUAUAGAUAAGUGAAUUUUAUACCUUUGGUUGAUUAAACUGAUGUUUUCUGUAAGUAAUGCUAGCUGGCGUGUUUUGAUACAUUGUCAUAGAAUCUUUAACACAUAAUUCUAUGUCUAUUUCAGGAAGAUCAGAAAAUAACAGAAUGCAUUCGUUAAAACCCGAAGUUAAAAGAGAGUCACGUAACUGUUUCAAUAUUGCUAGACCAACUAGAAGUGGAAAUGAAGAAUCCCCUAGUAAAAGUUUGUCCCAUAAAUGUAGUAUUUUGUGAAGCGGAAAUACAUCUAUAAGAAAAAUAUUUUAAUCAAUAUGUUAAUAGAAAAAUAUUUCAACAACAGUUACAAUAUAUAACUUACGUGAAAACAUUGUUAAAAACCAUGGUAUAGCAAAUAAUUCUGGUACAAAGUUAAUUGAUCUGAGAUGAUUAGCCAAUUGUGGGUCAUGAAAAGCUAUAAUUUGCGAAAAUUUUCCUAAAUAUUCUUGUAUGAUAGCAGAAUUAUCUUUUAAAAAGAACUUAUGAAGAUAUUUUGGUAUGAAUGCAGACAAGCAUUCGAAUGCUCUAGCUGCAAAGAGUGUAGUAUGCAUUAAAUAUGUAGAAGAAAAAUAUUGAAUAUAAUAUAUAUUUAAUCUUUUACCUUCGUUAUUAAAGUUAAGGUACAGAAAAGGAGCUGUUAAAGAAUCUAAUCCUUGCCAAUAAACAUAAUGAGGAUUGUUUCG